UGCCCUAGUAACGGCGAGUGAAGCGGCAACAGCUCAAAUUUGAAAUCUGGCCCCAGGCCCGAGUUGUAAUUUGCAGAGGAUGCUUUUGGCAAAGCGCUUACCGAGUCCCCUGGAACGGGGCGCCGCAGAGGGUGAGAGCCCCGUAUGGUAUGACGCCUAGCCUCUGUAAAGCUCCUUCGACGAGUCGAGUAGUUUGGGAAUGCUGCUCUAAAUGGGAGGUAAAUUUCUUCUAAAGCUAAAUACCGGCCAGAGACCGAUAGCGCACAAGUAGAGUGAUCGAAAGAUGAAAAGCACUUUGAAAAGAGGGUUAAAUAGCACGUGAAAUUGUUGAAAGGGAAGCGCUCGUGACCAGACUUGCGCCGGGCGGAUCAUCCAGCGUUCUCGCUGGUGCACUCCGCCCGGCUCAGGCCAGCAUCGGUUUUCGCCGGGGGACAAAAGCUUCGGGAACGUGGCUCCCCUCGGGGAGUGUUAUAGCCCGUUGUUUAAUACCCCGGCGGGGACCGAGGACCGCGCUUCGGCAAGGAUGCUGGCGUAAUGGUCAUCAGCGACCCGUCUUGAAACACGGACCGAGGAGUCAAGCAUUAGUGCGAGUGUUUGGGUGUAAAACCCGCACGCGUAAUGAAAGUGAACGUAGGUGAGAGCUUCGGCGCAUCAUCGACCGAUCCUGAUGUUUUCGGAUGGAUUUGAGUAGGAGCAUUAACGCUUGGACCCGAAAGAUGGUGAACUAUACUUGAAUAGGGUGAAGCCA
rnacentral:rRNA from 1 species